AGGGUUUGAUCAUGGCUCAGAACGUACGCUGGCGGCACGCCUAACACAUGCAAGUCGAACGAAGUAGCAAUACUUAGUGGCAGACGGGUGAGUAACAUGUGGGUAUCUGCCCUUUGGCCUGGAAUAACACGAGGAAACUUGUGCUAAUACCGGAUAAGUCUUUACGGAGAAAGCUUUAUGCACCAUUGGAUGAGCCCGCACUUGAUUAGUUUGUUGGUGGGGUAAUGGCCUACCAAGACUGUGAUCAAUAGCUGAUUUGAGAGGAUGAUCAGCCACAUUGGGACUGAGACACGGCCCAAACUCCUACGGGAGGCAGCAGUGGGGAAUCUUGCACAAUGGAGGAAACUCUGAUGCAGCGAUGCCGCGUGAGUGAAGAAGGCCCUUGGGUUGUAAAGCUCUUUCGUCGGGGAAGAAAAUGACUGUACCCGAAUAAGAAGGUCCGGCUAACUUCGUGCCAGCAGCCGCGGUAAUACGAAGGGACCUAGCGUAGUUCGGAAUUACUGGGCUUAAAGAGUUCGUAGGUGGUUGAAAAAGUUAGUGGUGAAAUCCCAGAGCUUAACUCUGGAACUGCCAUUAAAACUUUUCAGCUAGAGUAUGAUAGAGGAAAGCAGAAUUUCUAGUGUAGAGGUGAAAUUCGUAGAUAUUAGAAAGAAUACCAAUUGCGAAGGCAGCUUUCUGGAUCAUUACUGACACUGAGGAACGAAAGCAUGGGUAGCGAAGAGGAUUAGAUACCCUCGUAGUCCAUGCCGUAAACGAUGUGUGUUAGACGUUGGAAAUUUAUUUUCAGUGUCGCAGCGAAAGCGAUAAACACACCGCCUGGGGAGUACGACCGCAAGGUUAAAACUCAAAUGAAUUGACGGGGACCCGCACAAGUAGUGGAGCAUGUGGUUUAAUUCGAAGAUACGCGCAGAACCUUACCAACACUUGACAUGUUCGUCGCGACUCUAAGAGAUUAGAGUUUUCGGUUCGGCCGGACGAAACACAGGUGCUGCAUGGCUGUCGUCAGCUCGUGUCGUGAGAUGUUGGGUUAAGUCCCGCAACGAGCGCAACCCUCACUUUUAGUUGCCAUCAUUAAGUUGGGCACUCUGAAAGAACUGCCAGUGAUAAGCUGGAGGAAGGUGGGGAUGACGUCAAGUCCUCAUGGCCCUUACGUGUUGGGCUACACACGUGCUACAAUGGUAUCUACAACAGGAAGCAAGACUGCGAGGUCAAGCAAAUCCUUAAAAGAUACCUCAGUUCGGAUUGCACUCUGCAACUCGAGUGCAUGAAGCUGGAAUUACUAGUAAUCGUGGAUCAGCGUGCCACGGUGAAUGCGUUCCCGGGUCUUGUACACACCGCCCGUCACACCAUGGGAGUUGGUUCUACCUUAAG
rnacentral:rRNA from 1 species